UUGUUUGUGAACACACUUUGGCCAAAUGUGAUGUCACAUGAUGAGGUGAGGCUGGGGGGCUGGCUGCUACUAUAUGAUCUGUAAUGUACCCCAGGAACCAGCCAAGCUUCUCCACCAAUCUCAGUGGUAGGACUCUUCAUCGCGUGCAUGCAGAAGGAACCUGUGUCCUUUUGCAUUGAUGGAGGGUGAGCAGGGCAGUGCAGGAGAAGGACCAAACCAGGUCUAUGAUUUGUAUGGCCAAGAGCUCUUGAAAUCCUGUCCAGGAAAAAGCUAUCAGAGAAGAGCUGAAUGUUGGAAAAUAGGAGGGGACCCCUUUAGGGUUCUGUUCCUAAAGAAAGAAUGCCUUCCCUGAAUCUA